CCUACGGGAGGCAGCAGUGAGGAAUAUUGGGCAAUGGGCGCGAGCCUGAACCAGCCAAGUCGCGUGAGGGAAGACGGUCCUAUGGAUUGUAAACCUCUUUUGUCGGGGAGAAAAAGACGCCACGCGUGGCGUUCCGAGAGUAACCGAAGAAAAAGCAUCGGCUAACUCUGUGCCAGCAGCCGCGGUAAUACGGAGGAUGCGAGCGUUCACCGGAUUUAUUGGGGUUAAAGGGUGCGCAGGCGGAAGGUUAAGUCAGCGGUAAAAGGGAGAGGCUCAACCUCUUCGGGCCUUUGCAACUGGUUUUCUUGAGUGAGCGAGAGGUAUGCGGAAUGCGUGGUGUAGCGGUGAAAUGCGUAGAUAUCACGCAGAACUCCGGUUGCGAAGGCAGCAUACCGGCGCUCAACUGACGCUCAUGCACGAAAGUGUGGGUAUCGAACAGGAUUAGAUACCCCAGUAGUC
rnacentral:rRNA from 1 species